rnacentral:rRNA from 1 species
UACGUAGGUGGCAAGCGUUGUUCGGAAUUAUUGGGCGUAAAGAGCUCGUAGGCGGUUUGUCGCGUCUGCUGUGAAAACGCGAGGCUCAACCUCGCGCCUGCAGUGGGUACGGGCAGACUAGAGUGCGGUAGGGGAGAUUGGAAUUCCUGGUGUAGCGGUGAAAUGCGCAGAUAUCAGGAGGAACACCGGUGGCGAAGGCGGGUCUCUGGGCCGAUACUGACGCUGAGGAGCGAAAGCGUGGGGAGCGAACAGG